rnacentral:rRNA from 1 species
UACGGAGGGUGCAAGCGUUAAUCGGAAUUACUGGGCGUAAAGCGCACGCAGGCGGUUUGUUAAGUCAGAUGUGAAAUCCCCGGGCUCAACCUGGGAACUGCAUUUGAAACUGGUUGGCUUGAGUCUUGUUGAGGGGGGUAGAAUUCCAUGUGUAGCGGUGAAAUGCUUAGAGAUGUGGAGGAAUACCGGUGGCGAAGGCGGCCCCCUGGACUAAGACUGACGCUCAGGUGCGAAAGCGUGGGGAGCAAACAGG